rnacentral:lncRNA from 1 species
AAAGAAAUAAUAUAGAAUUCAAAAAUAUACUAAAAUAUAAAUCUUAAUAAAAUAUUAAAAUUGAAAUAUUAAUUAAAUCCUAAUCAAAAUCUAAUGAAACUCUAUUCAAAUCCUAGUCAAAUUCUAAUCAAAUUCUAAAUAAAUCCUAGUCAAAUCCUAAAAAAUCCUAAUCAAAUUUUGAUCUAAUUCUAAACAAACCUUAACUAAAUCUUAAUCAAAAUCUAAUCAAAUUCUAGUCAAAUUCUAAUCAAAUUCUAACCAAAUCCUAAAUAAAUCCUACUCAAAUCCUAAAAAAACUUAACCAAAUUCUAAUCAAAUCCUAAACAAAUCUUAACCAAAUCCUAUUCAAUUCCUAAACAAAUCCUACUUUCCAGCACAAAUCCUAACCAAACUAUAAACAAACUCUAACCAAAUCCUAAACAAAUUCUAAAAAAAUCCUAAUCAAAUCCUAAUCAAAUCCUAAACAAACCUUAACCAAAUCCUUAAUAAUUCCUAACCAAAUACUAAACAAAUCCUAACUAAAUCCUAAACAAAUUCUAAUCAAAUCCUAAAUAAAUCUUAAAUAAAUCCUAAUCAAAUCCUAAUCAAAUUCUAACCAAAUCCUAAACAAAUCCUAAUCAAAUUCUAAUCAAAUCAUAAACAAACCUUAAUCAAAUCCUAAACAAAUCCUAAU